rnacentral:miRNA from 1 species
UGGAAUCAUUUCUGCACAAACUAG